rnacentral:lncRNA from 1 species
AACUGGACAGAGAGCUGGAAGGAGACAUCAGCCAUCCAGGCAGGAGCUGACCCUGCCAGCCAUUCUGGGGCAACUGUGGCUGUCACAGACCCUGCCCCAGUGGAGGGAAUAGCCCCAGGCAGCCUGACCUUGUCUACUGUUUAUUUUUGCCAAAAUAAUCUCAUUCUUAUUACGUAAGUAAUGUAUGCCUAUUGUAGAUAUUGUAGAAAAUAUAGAUGAAUCCAAUGAAGAAAAUACAACCACUCAUUCUUUUUUUUUUUUUUUUUUUUUUUUGAGAUGGGGUUUUUCCAUGAUGGCCAGGCUGGUCUCGAACUCCUGGCCUCAAGCAAUCCACCCACCUCAGCCUCCCAAAGUGUUGGGAUUACAGGCGUGAGCCACCGCACCUGGCCUAAUACAAUCACUCUUUUUUUUUUCUGAGACGGAGUCUUGCUCUGUCACCCAGGCGGGAGUGCAGUGGCAUGAUCUCAGCUCACUGCAAGCUCCGCCUCCCGUGUUCACGCCAUUCGAAAUUAGGGAGGGCUCUGAGACUGGGGGCUGGUCACUGCAAUCUCUCAAUAAAUGUCAGUGUCACUAUCAUUUUGACACAUUCUCCAGAUUCUGCAUUACAAGCACCAAUUUCUCCUCUGAGGGCAGAGGAGGGAGAGCUGGGGAGAGAGUGGACCCCAUUCAGUGUAUCCUUCCCCACCCCAAGUUCAUAUGGCUUUUAGCCAAACCUUGAGAUUGGAACACCUCUGUCACUGCAUCCAAAACCUUUCAGGUUUCCAAAGGGUAGUUUAUUCGUCCACUUAACAAAUAUCUAGGGCCAGCACCAUGGCUCAUGCCUGUAAUCCCAGCACUUUGGGAGGCCAAGGUGGGCAGGUCGAUUAAGCCCAGCAGUUUGAGACCAGCCUAGGCAAGAUGACAAAAGCUCAUCGAUACAAAAAAAAUGCAAAAAUGGCCGGGCGCAGUGGCUCACACCUGUAAUCCCAGCACUUUGGGAUGCUGAGGCAGGCAGAUCACCCGAGGGUCAGAAGUUCAAGACCACCCUGACCAAUAUGGAGAAACCCUGUCUCUACUAAAAAUACAAAAUUAGAUGGGCAUGGUGGCGCAUGCCUGUAAUCCCAGCUACUUGGGAGGCUGAGGCAGGAGAAUUGCUUGAAGCUGGGAGGUAAAGGUUGCGGUGAGCCAAGAUUGUGCCAUUGUACUCCAGCCUGGAAAACAAGAGCAAAACUCCAUCUCAAAAACAAACAAAAAAAAAAGCAAAAAUUAGCCGGGUGUGGUAGCAUGCACCUGUGGUCCCAGCUACUCGGGAGGCUGAGGUGGGAGGGUCACCUGAGCCCAGGGAGGUCAAGGCUGCAGCGUGCCAUGAUUGUGCCACUGCACUCCAGCCUGGAUGACAGAGAGAGACCCUGUCUCAAAAUAAAAUAAAACUAAACUAAACUAAACUAAACAUCUGUAGCUCACGAUGAGAGCUGGAGAGUCCAGUGGUUAAGAACUUUAGAGCAAGAUGGCCCUGGGGUCCAGUCUUGCCCUACCUGAGUGACCUUGGGCAACUCACUUAACCUCUCUGAGCCACAGUGUUCCCAGAAGAUAGCCAGGAGGAGUCCUAAGCUCAGGACUCAGUUCAGGGCUGAGAUUUGGCCGACAAUGUGUACACACCUGCAGAAAGCCCGGCCACCCCAGGCACUCACUACAUCCAGGUUCGGAUUUGCAGGCUGUGGUGACCUCCCAGGCUCCCCACCCUCAGUGAGUUCUUGUGGAUUAAGAAGGAAUGGGUGGCGCCUUGAGAUACCAGACUUGCCAGGUGUUAC